GAGAGAGAGAGAGAGAGAGAGAGAGAGAGAGAGAGUCCUCGGCACAAGGUGAGCGCCUCGAUGCCGUGUCGUGCCGGCCGCCACUGACGAGUCUGUUAUUCCUCAGCCAGCUGUUGGUACGGUGCCAUUCUGACGGCCGGCGGUGGGCGCCGAAGGCCGCGCCGGCUGCUGAGCCGUGUCGCGCCGCUCAGAAGACGCCCCAUCAUCGCGCGGCGCCCCGGACCGGACCGCCCGGCGCCCCGAACCGGACCGGACCGGGACCACCGGGUGGUGGCGCGUGCCGCGACCCACUUCGUCACCCACCGCCGGCUCAGCACAGCGUCUCCAUCGGUCAUCAUUGGCGCCGCAAUCAAUAACGAGCCGGGACGCCACGUUGAGAGCCCCCGCCUCGUGACGUCAGCCCUGCCGGACGCCGUCUGACCGCUGCUGACCUGCCGCUGACCGACGAGGCUGCUGUGGGGACGGACGACCAGUCUUGCACCGCGCCGAGGUGCGCUGCGUUCCCGAGCGGCGUUCCGAGGAGAGAGUGAAACGGACGGAGAAAAGGAGCCGAGGACCACGUGCUCUGCUGCCGCCAACUACCCGCGUCGGCCGAGGUUUGGAUUCGAGUCGGCGACGGUCCCCUCCACGCUGCGUUAGGGUGUAAUAUGUAAGGUGCGAGGGUGAGAGGGUGAGAGUGGACUGGUCAGCGCCGCGGUGGUCCCCGCGGCUACUGUCGAACAAUAUGUCAGCCGUAACCGUUUGCUGUUAUGGGGAUCGGUUGUGGAUGGUUUGUCAUGGCCAGCUGUGUAUAGGACUGGGACAGAGGAGAGAGUCGGUGAGCUCAGUGCAGAGAUAGUCGACAGAGUCGGUGAGCAGGGGGCAGAAACAGUGAACUUAGGACAGUCGGGGCGAUGGGACAAAACUGGUGAGCCGGGACAGGGAAGUUGAGCUGGGGACAGAGGCGGCGAGCUGCUUGGUUACAGAAGCUUUAAGCUGGGGACUGAGACGCUGAGGACGGAGGUGCGGUGGCGCGCCCAGCUGUCACUCUGGACCGGUGUGAGGCGCCGUGUGGGCGGACGCCGAGCUCGGGCACCCGUAGUGUCUCCCAUUAUGGGCGCUGUCACCGGCCGCCGCCGGGGAGGGGAUGGGAGAGAGCCGGGAGGCAGCCGACAGCCGGCCAGACGUCAUUUGUUUCCCUCUGUCAUAGAGGCAAAUGGCCUUGUCGCUUAGUCCCGCUGACCUUUUGACAUUUGUGAAACUUAUUGUGCUCGGGGAAUCUCAUGUGUCCAAUGGCAGAUUGAUGAGCAUCUCUCUCAUUUGUUUUAUUCGAUGGCUGGGCUUUAUCAUCCAAAAAUUGGUUAUUCAAUAGACAGUAACACAGAUUGCGCACUACUCAUAAAUCACGAUAUCAAAACAUACCGUCGCGAAUGCGGAAUGUCUCUCCGACCGAGGUUCAAAGGUUAGAUGAAAAGACAACCCGGAAAAAUCAAAUCUUUUAUUUGGCUGUUAGUCUCUCCCACAAUUAAUGCUCGUAUGGUGUAGACAGCCCGAGGGCUCAGCAUAAGGCGCUCAGUAUUGCCGUGAGUUCCCACACGGUUGGCGUCGGUCGGGGUGGUGCCGGUGGAUGGACCCGGGGCCGGCCCGCUGGACACCCCUGAGCUGCACCGAGCAGGUGUUUACCGGACCGCUUCCUCACGGCUGCGGUCACGGCCCGCGGCGCCGCUCCCAGCCGGCGGAUUUCCGUGAAUCCGCGCCGUGACGCCCGUGACGGGUGUGACGGCCGCCCUUCCCGCCGCCACCCGCGCUCCAUAAUCGUCACGCGGCUCUCCUGGCACGCCGAGCGCCGCUGCCGGUCCGGCCUGUCGCUCGGUACGCCGCUCUCGCCGCACUCUCAGCCCGCCGCGCCACGAUGUGUCAAAUUAGCCGACGCGACUCUGCAGCGUUAAUAAGAUUAAUGAGUCGGCCGUCGAUAAGAGCGGCGCGCCAUCCCGUCACUAAUCGCCGCGACGGCCGCGGCGCGUCUGCGGCCGAGGUGGCGCGAUCCGCCGCGCCGCCGACGCCGCCAGGUCGUCACGGGUCGGUGCGGGUCAAACGUGGCCGUCAUGCGUCGACGCGGCAGCGCGUCUUAAUCAGUAAUUGCGGUCCUGCUGGCGGGGCUGGCCGGGCGGCCGGCGUGAGGCAGGUGUGGACCAGAAAAUAUCAGCCCGGCGCGGCCGGCGCGCGCAUCCUGCAGGGAUUAGCGGCGCCGGCGUGCGCCCCGCAGUCGCCUGCGCCGGUAAAUACAAAUGAUUCCGGUAACGCGAGCCGCGGCAUCGCUGGCUGCAUCUACGUGUUGUCAUAAUCGGGCAUCUCUGCCGGCGGGCCGGCACGGCGGUAAGCCCGUGCCUGGCGCGCGCAGGCCCGCCGACACCGCAGCUGAGACGAACUUAAACCUCCACGGAUCGCACUUAGCAACACCUCCGCACCGGCCGCCGGACCGAGGGCGACGGCCCACAAAGCUGUGAAUUCAUGCUGCAUUGGGCACCGCAUAUGAUUAUUUCUCAUAAGGAGUGUCGGGUGCUGAUAGGGCCGGGCAGCUUUGACACUGGACAUCAUGCGCAUUUAUUUACCUGCCAGCGCUGAUCCCCGGCCAGCCGCUCCCCGAACCGGCCGGCGCCUCUCUGUAAUGAACCAGCUUCAUCUUCUUGCUUGUGCAACAACAAGGGAAUUUUCGUGGCGAAACUUAGCAUGCAGACUCUGAAGACCCGUCCCUGCUCGGCGUUUGCCAGUUCCUGUCGACGCGGCGGCCCGUCUCUGAGCUAGCUCGCGCCGUUGUCUUUGUGCCGCUCCGGCUGAGUCCCCGGCGUCGGCCACCACUCAUCUCCCUCCGCCGCGAGCCGCAGAAACAAUGCUGAGCGCCGCUUCAAUUGAAACGUAAUUUAUCGACACCUCCCGACGAGGGGCGCGCUGACAAUCAACAUCGAUUGCCGGGGGCGGGGGGCGGGGCAGACGGGCCCGGUCACCGGGCCGCGCUGCUGCGUCCCAGCACCCCCCUGGGACCCGCUGUCCCCGCACAGUGGCCCGGCCGGUGACAUGUAGUCCCACACAUUGGGGCAGGGCGGCGACAGGGGCAGUUGGCGCCGCUGACGAGGCACAUCCGUCCACAGAGGGAAAUGGAUGACGCUCGCAGCCAGAAUAGCCCUUCAAAGGCGAUUCUUUAAAGAUGGAUAAACAUGGGGACGUUACAAAACUUAGCCGAGACAUAGUGUGUGCAAUGUUUGGUUGUAUGACCUGAUGUAUCUUGCUUGUUCGGUGUUCACUUGUGUUUAAUAAAUGUCGAAAU